UAACUUACCUGGCAGGGGAGAUACCAUGAUCACGAAGGUGGUUUUCCCAGGGCGAGGCGUAUCCAUUGCACUCCGGAUGUGCUGACCCCUGCGAUUUCCCCAAAUGUGGGAAACUCGACUGCAUAAUUUGUGGUAGUGGGGGACUGCAUUUGAGCUCUCCCUUA
rnacentral:snRNA from 1 species